rnacentral:rRNA from 1 species
CAAGUCGAACGCGAAAGUCCCCUUCGGGGGACAAGUAGAGUGGCGCACGGGUGAGUAACACGUAGGUAAUCUACCUUCGGGUGGGGAAUAACAACCGGAAACGGUUGCUAAUACCGCAUAAUGCAGCGGCACCUAAUGGUGACAGUUGUUAAAGCGGGGGAUCGAAAGAUCUCGCGCCUGAAGAGGAGCCUGCGGCGGAUUAGCUAGUUGGUAGGGUAACGGCCUACCAAGGCGACGAUCCGUAGCCGGCCUGAGAGGGCGGUCGGCCACACUGACACUGACAUACGGGUCAGACUCCUACGGGAGGCAGCAGUCGGGAAUUUUGGGCAAUGGGCGAAAGCCUGACCCAGCAACGCCGCGUGAAGGAUGAAAUCCCUCGGGAUGUAAACUUCGCAAGAACGGGAAGAAUAAGUCUAUGUUAAUACCAUAGGCGAUGACGGUACCGUUUGUAAGCUCCGGCUAACUCCGUGCCAGCAGCCGCGGUAAUACGGGGGGAGCAAGCGUUGUUCGGAUUUACUGGGUGUAAAGGGCGCGUAGGCGGCCACCGCAAGUCAGUUGUGAAAUCUCCGAGCUUAACUCGGAAAGGUCAACUGAUACUGCGGGGCUAGAGUGCGGAAGGGGCAACUGGAAUUCUUGGUGUAGCGGCGAAAUGCGUAGAUAUCAAGAGGAACACCUGCGGCGAAGGCGGGUUGCUGGGCCGACACUGACGCUGAGGCGCGAAAGCUAGGGGAGCGAACGGGAUUAGAUACCCCGGUAGUCCUAGCCUUAAACGAUGAAUGCUUGGUGUCUGGGGUUAUAUAGUCCC